rnacentral:lncRNA from 10 species
UAAAGAACUACCUGAGACUGGGUACUUAUGAAACAAAGAGAUUUAAUUGACUCACAGUUCAGCAGGCUGUACAGAAAGCAUGGCUAGGGAGUCCUCAGGAAAUGUACAGUCACGGUGGAAGGCAAAGGGGAAGUAGGCACAUCUUCCCAUGGCAGAGCAGGAGAGAGAGAAAGAGAGAGAGACAGAGAGAGAGAGAGAAGAGGGGAGGUGCUAUACACUUUCAAACAAUCAUAUCUCAUGAGAAUUCUAUCACAAGACAGCACUAGGGGGAUGGUGCUAAACCAUUAGAAACCACCCCCAUGAUCCAAUCACCUCCCACCAGGCCCCACCUCCAUCACUGCGAAUUAUAAUUCGACAUGAGAUUUGGGAGAUGACACAAAACCAAACCAUAUCAGUCUUUAAAGAGUUAAGUUAAAAUAAGCUCUUUAAAGUGGGCCCUAAUCCAGUAUGACUGGUGUUCUUAUAAGAAGAGGAGAUUUGGUCACAGACAUGGUUGCAUGCAGAAUAAAGACUUUUCGAGGACACACUGAGAAGGCAGCCAUCUGCAAAACAAGGAAAGAGUCCUCAGCAGAAACCAGUCCUGCAGACUCCUUGAUCUUGGACUUCCAGCCACUGCAAUUGAUGUCAAGCUUCAGCACCCUUGCAUCUCUGGAUAAAUGAAAUGUCACCCCAGCUGCCGUCCUUGUUCAGAUCUGUGCAAUAAAGAGCAAAGCAUAAAACCAAGUCAAGGCUUUGAGGGAGUGACCUACAAAAUGCAUAAUGUGAAACAAUGCAAAAGCGAAAGGUGCAAAAUCCCCAUCAAAGAGCUGGAGGCUGACAGAUGCGCCAGUGAUAAUUCCCAUCUUCCAACACAGGAGCACAGCUUCCAUUUUCCAUAACAGAACAACAGCCAGAGCAGCUGGAAGGCAGGGCCGCAUCCCAGACUUCCACCAACAAUGGGAUGAGACUUGACAUCUGGAAUCACAACCACAACAGACCUGAGAGACCCACCAGCUUGAUGACAAGCUUCUUCUUUCAAAGAAAGGUAUCAGUCUGGGGGACCUAGUGCUGCAAACCAUGACAAAUUAAGUGUGGCAUCCCUCACUUGCAUAAUGGAACUCAGUGAUAUUUUUUAAUUAACAAGAGUUAUUUUUAUGUAAGCUUCUCUCAUUCCUCCACUGUGCGUGCUCGGGGGCUGGUGGUGAGGAAAAAGAAAACAGCUGUGCGGGAAGCAUCAAGAAAAGGCAAGUCAUGAAGUCUUAGAGAUCAGUGACAUGUAAGAAAAAGAGUGAGGAGAAAAAUAUUCCUACUAAAGUUUUCCAUUUGUUUACCUUCCUUGUCACAUAGACUUCCAAGAGUUAGAAGUCUAGGAUUUGAUCUCCAAAUCUUCCUGGCAGAUUACUCAUCUUCAUUUCAUUCAUAUAGUCCAGGGGUUUGUACAAAGGAAGAUGCCAGUUCUUCCCCAAUCAUAACUAAGAUAUCAAGAGAUAUUCUUUUGAAAUGUAACAAAGGAGAUCUGAAGUUCAUCUGAAAAAAAUAAAUGGUUUUAGGCGGUCAUGACCAUGGGAUGCUGGACCAGGAUGGUAAGCUUCAGGAAACAGAAUCUGGAGAAUGCCCAGCUGCUCCCACAGGAAGCAUCAGGGAAGAAGAAGAAGAGGUGUGAAGUCUGCCUUCUGCUCUGCUGGGAUCCCUUUCACAUCUCCUUUGCCUCCAGGCAGUUUUGGUUCCUGGCCAUUUCCAGGUGUGACUCACUCAGGAUGGUAAGCAUCUUCUCUCCUACCCAGAGUAGAGGAUGAAGACCUCAUCUCAGAGGUUGAAGGGAGCUCCAGAGAGAGGUCUCAAACUUCCAGCAUUAACUGCUAAAGAAGCUUCAUGAGCUGCUGGAGAACCUGGGAAAUGACCAAUUAUAGGGACAGAGCUCAAAUACUCUGGGACACUCUAGUAGCUGAGAAAGUUCCAACUCCAGGGUGAUAGAGGACUGCCUGGCAAACCAUCAUCAAAGCAGAAGACCUGAUACUAACAUCACAGGCUAUGGUUUAUUACUGAAGAUCAGUGCUUACACCCUGCCAGAGGUUCAGAAGCAAACUUAUCAUUGUUCUCCCUGGAGAUGUUGGCCCACAUUCUGAAAAGUGUGGUCAGUAGUAGCAACAGAAAGCAAUUGUGCUUGCCAAGCACAAUGUCACUGUCCCCAGCCCUUCCCCCAACACAACCCAGUAGGUGCUUCCUGGCUGCAAACUUGGGAAAGUCACUUGACCUGUCUGAGGUUCCACUUCCUAAUCUGGCCUGGCGAAGAUAAGAAAAACAGUUUAUUUAAAGUGUCUAGCAAAGUGCUUGGACCAAAAUAGGACCUCUGAAAUGGUUAUGGUAGUGCUGUUAAGGUGAUGUUUUAAGUGCUGAUGAGCACAAAGAUGGGUAAGAUAUUCCUUCUGUUAAAAUCUACAGUCUAAUGAGAGAGAACAAGAUGAAUGCACAAUAACUGUCAUUCAGAACAGGAUUAUGAGAAGGUGUGAAUUUCUGUGAAAAAUCAGAACAGGGAGUAAUAUGAUCCCAGGUGAUUGGCAGGGGGUGGGGGUCUGGAUUCAACUGGAGAGGGAGCUGGCAGGGAAGGCUUCCUGGAGGAUGAGAGUUCAACAAGGGGCAGGUGUAGGAUGUGGGUGGCCAAGUGACUGGGCAGAAGGAGCUGCAGAAGUAAGACCCCAAAUCAGGAAGACAAGGGCCUGCUGAGAAACACGAGCUACAAAGUGCAAGUGCAGGAAGAGUUGGGAUGAGAUUAGAAGGGGGUCUGGGGCCAGACUGUGGAAGGCCCAAAUGCCGGGCUAAGGAGUUUGUACUUAAUUCAGUGGUCAACGGGGAGUCAUUGGAGGCUGUUGAGCAGGAGAGUUGCUUUCUUUACAGCUGUGCCAGACUAAAUUAAACCUAAACAGUACUUUAUAGCUGGAAAGGGAAGGCCCAGGAAUAGCUCUUGACUCAGAAACAGGCAUUGGGGAAGGUAAUGAGAAACAGCCGUGACUGAUCAAAGCAGAGAGGUUAAUUAAAUUUGUAAUUAUUGUGAAAGGCCAUUAAAAACCCUAGUUCACUAGAGAUAACUGCUCUAGUGGGGCUUCAAAGACAAACGCUUCUUUUAACCUUGAAUAGGGGGAUGUUUGCUUCUCUGUGGAGGAGAUAUGAUUAAGAUACUUAAUAAAUGGUAGAUAAACAUGCACACGUGUGUGUUCUCUGUAAACCCACUCUUCGUCCCUGCAUAUAUCUGUGUAGCUAUGUAGGGUGCUCCACAAGAGGGGUCCCCAGCCCCCAGGCCAUAGAGCGUUAUGGGUCCAUGACCUAUUAGGAACCAGGCCACACAGCAGGAGUUGAGCAGAGGGCAAGCAAGCAAAGCUUCAUCUGUAUUUACAGUC